ensembl:lncRNA
CCCUGUGGUCACACACACAGGCCCCCAUCAGGUAGGCCCUGUGGUCACACACAGCCACCCAUCAGGUAGGCCCUGUGGUCAAACACAGGCCCCAUCAGGUAGGCCCUGUGGUCACACACAGCCCCCCAUCAGGUAGGCCCUGUCGUCACACACAGCCCCCAGCAGGGCAGCACAGAGGCCUCUUCAACCAGGGGAUGGUUGAUUGUACUUUAAUAGUUUUGUGUAUCUUAUGGUGAAUUGAUUUGAAAUGAGGUCGAGGCGAGGUACUAAGUGUGUGUGUCUAGACAGGCAGGUGUUGCUACUCUUUAUUCUUCAAUAAUUCUAUUAUUUAUGAAUCCCUUAUUUAGUUAUAAUAGCUGUAAUCGUGACAACAGGUGUCAUUAGAACUACG